rnacentral:rRNA from 1 species
GGGUGAGUAACACGUGGAUAACCUACCUAUAAGACUGGGAUAACUUCGGGAAACCGGAGCUAAUACCGGAUAAUAUAUUGAACCGCAUGGUUCAAUAGUGAAAGACGGUUUUGCUGUCACUUAUAGAUGGAUCCGCGCCGCAUUAGCUAGUUGGUAAGGUAACGGCUUACCAAGGCAACGAUACGUAGCCGACCUGAGAGGGUGAUCGGCCACACUGGAACUGAGACACGGUCCAG